rnacentral:rRNA from 1 species
AGCAGUCGCCGCGGGAAUACGGAGGAUCCAAGCGUUAUCCGGAAUCAUUGGGUUUAAAGGGUCCGUAGGCGGUCUUGUAAGUCAGUGGUGAAAGCCCAUCGCUCAACGGUGGAACGGCCAUUGAUACUGCAGGACUUGAAUUAUUGGGAAGUAACUAGAAUAUGUAGUGUAGCGGUGAAAUGCUUAGAGAUUACAUGGAAUACCAAUUGCGAAGGCAGGUCACUACCAAUUGAUUGACGCUGAUGGACGAAAGCGUGGGUAGCGAACAGGAUUAGAUACCCCCGUAGUCCCUGUCUCUUAUAC